AAAGUUACACAAGAAGAAUUGGCCCUUGACCAGCCUGAUUGGUUGCAGGAGGGGACCAAUCAGAGGUACCUCCCAUUUUUCAUCUGCAGCCCAAUGCAAAGUAAUGACAUGGAUCUGGAGAGAUUCUCUUAGGAGAGAAUCUGGCUAAGUGUCUAGCAGGAUGAUUGAUUAACAAGAUGUUUUGUUUUCAUCAUCUCAGAGAUAACUGUAUUGAGGUAUAAUUGAUAUGCCAAAUAACUGGACACAUUCAACUUGUGCAAUUUGAUGAGUUUGGAGAUACACAUACAUCUGUGAAACCAUCACCAAAAUCAAGAUGCUGGUGCCUGCAGUGGAGGCUGCUUGAAAUACAUCUGGUCCAGUCACAGCCUUGAUUGGGGCCAGUGCCUGUGCCAGCACCUGGAGCUGCCUGCCCCACCACAGCAGCCAGCGUGCCUGGCUGUGCACAGAGGCCAGACCUGUGCUCACUCACUCACACGCCCCUCACCACUCUGUGCCUGGCUCACCCUUGGCAGGCAUGGGAUCUCGGCCAGUAGCACGAGCCAAGCACAGCCUGCUGGGCCAAGUGGGUAAAACGAGCCCAGUGGGUGCGAGCAAGACUCAAGCAGAGGCACCACCAGCCGCCGAGGCACCACCAGCCACAGAGGUUUCUGGCUGGUGAAGCAACACCUGAAGAAUCCUAUGGCAUUUUCCUGACUUUGAAAUUUACCCACUUAGUCAAGAAAAUAUGAAGCUAUUCAUUCCCUUUACUUGUCUAGCAGAAUAUUUCCACAUAGAAGAUUUUAGUCUUUGUCAUCAAGACUGCGUAACAUUUAACACUCCACCACAUCAAAAUGCUACUUACACAUACAUAAUAAACACUCAGAGAGGAA
rnacentral:lncRNA from 1 species